rnacentral:rRNA from 1 species
UACGUAGGGUGCAAGCGUUGUCCGGAAUUAUUGGGCGUAAAGAGCUCGUAGGCGGUUUGUCACGUCUGCUGUGAAAACUGGAGGCUCAACCUCCAGCCUGCAGUGGGUACGGGCAGACUAGAGUGUGGUAGGGGAGACUGGAAUUCCUGGUGUAGCGGUGGAAUGCGCAGAUAUCAGGAGGAACACCGAUGGCGAAGGCAGGUCUCUGGGACGGUACUGACGCUGGAGAACGCGAAAGCGUGGGGAGCGAACAGG